GACGAACUUUGGCGGCGUGCUUAACACAUGCAAGUCGAACGGAAAGGCCCUGCUUUUGUGGGGUGCUCGAGUGGCGAACGGGUGAGUAACACGUGAGUAACCUGCCCUUGACUUUGGGAUAACUUCAGGAAACUGGGGCUAAUACCGGAUAGGAGCUCCUGCUGCAUGGUGGGGGUUGGAAAGUUUCGGCGGUUGGGGAUGGACUCGCGGCUUAUCAGCUUGUUGGUGGGGUAGUGGCUUACCAAGGCUUUGACGGGUAGCCGGCCUGAGAGGGUGACCGGCCACAUUGGGACUGAGAUACGGCCCAGACUCCUACGGGAGGCAGCAGUGGGGAAUAUUGCACAAUGGGCGGAAGCCUGAUGCAGCAACGCCGCGUGCGGGAUGACGGCCUUCGGGUUGUAAACCGCUUUCGCCUGUGACGAAGCGUGAGUGACGGUAAUGGGUAAAGAAGCACCGGCUAACUACGUGCCAGCAGCCGCGGUGAUACGUAGGGUGCGAGCGUUGUCCGGAUUUAUUGGGCGUAAAGGGCUCGUAGGUGGUUGAUCGCGUCGGAAGUGUAAUCUUGGGGCUUAACCCUGAGCGUGCUUUCGAUACGGGUUGACUUGAGGAAGGUAGGGGAGAAUGGAAUUCCUGGUGGAGCGGUGGAAUGCGCAGAUAUCAGGAGGAACACCAGUGGCGAAGGCGGUUCUCUGGGCCUUUCCUGACGCUGAGGAGCGAAAGCGUGGGGAGCGAACAGGCUUAGAUACCCUGGUAGUCCACGCUGUAAACGGUGGGUACUAGGUGUGGGGUCCAUUCCACGGGUUCCGUGCCGUAGCUAACGCUUUAAGUACCCCGCCUGGGGAGUACGGCCGCAAGGCUAAAACUCAAAGGAAUUGACGGGGCCCCGCACAAGCGGCGGAGCAUGCGGAUUAAUUCGAUGCAACGCGUAGAACCUUACCUGGGUUUGACAUGGAUCGGGAGUGCUCAGAGAUGGGUGUGCCUCUUUUGGGGUCGGUUCACAGGUGGUGCAUGGCUGUCGUCAGCUCGUGUCGUGAGAUGUUGGGUUAAGUCCCGCAACGAGCGCAACCCUUGUUCACUGUUGCCAGCACGUUAAGGUGGGGACUCAGUGGAGACCGCCGGGGUCAACUCGGAGGAAGGUGGGGAUGACGUCAAGUCAUCAUGCCCCUUAUGUCCAGGGCUUCACGCAUGCUACAAUGGCUGGUACAGAGAGUGGCGAGCCUGUGAGGGUGAGCGAAUCUCGGAAAGCCGGUCUCAGUUCGGAUUGGGGUCUGCAACUCGACCUCAUGAAGUCGGAGUCGCUAGUAAUCGCAAAUCAGCAACGCUGCGGUGAAUACGUUCCCGGGGCU
rnacentral:rRNA from 1 species